UACGUAGGGUGCAAGCGUUGUCCGGAAUUAUUGGGCGUAAAGAGCUCGUAGGCGGUUGUCGCGUCGAAUGUGAAAACCCGGGGCUCAACCCCGGGCCUGCAUUCGAUACGGGCAGACUAGAGUUCGGUAGGGGAGACUGGAAUUCCUGGUGUAGCGGUGAAAUGCGUAGAGAUCGGGAGGAACACCAGUGGCGAAGGCGGCUCACUGGUCCAUUACUGACGCUGAGGUGCGAAAGCGUGGGAGCA
rnacentral:rRNA from 1 species